AAACCAGAGAUAUGGUCUUUUUAUAUCUUUAAAAUACUUGUUUGCCUUUUUUAAGGUUUACGGCGUGUAGAGGACAGAAAAAGGAGAACGAAUUUCAUAUGGAUAAAUAACAAAAACGUAACUUACAGCGCUUGGAAAAGAAGUGAACCUUCAACUGGGGAUUGUGUACGUACCUCAUUCAUGUACUUUAACACCGAAGAGCUUUGGGAGACUGAAGAUUGUUAUAAAAAUUAUGUCAAGUUUUUCAUCUGUGAAAGACCGUUUUCAUCGAACUACAGAAAUGACAGUAAUUUCAUGAAGAAAGAUGUGUGUAAACAUUAUGUAGAGAAAGACCUGAUAACAUCACCUUACUCUGGUAGAAAUUGUCAGAAUUGGUUUAAUCUAUCUGACAAUGCUAAGCGUGAUUUUGACAUCAACUUUCCCGCCUUACGGGGCACUUUAGAAAAUUCAACUUUAUGUAAGGAUCCCUCUGCACAAGAUAUUCCAUGGUGCUAUGUCGGUUACUCUGAGAAAUUCUGGCGGGAGCCGUGCUUUUUGCAACGCAAGUUAUUUUCAUAUACUUAAUAUAUUUUAGCUUACCUGAGCAGAAAGUGCUCAAAGUGAGAUUUUGUGAUCACAAUUUGUCCGGUGUCCAUAGUCCGUCAGUGCAUCCGUGCGUCAGUGAGUUCGUGCGUCUCUGCGUCCGUCGUCAACCUUUUCAUACACAACUUCUCAGAAACCACUAGGCCAAAUGUGAUGAAAUUUUCCAUGGUUGUAGCUAGCAUAAAGCUCUACUAAAAUGGUUCUGCUCAAUUGAACAUCUGGAUCAGCAGCGCUAAAAAUAGAUUGAUGAAAUUAAAUCUUUAUAAAAAUUCUCCUCAGAAAGUAUCAUGCCUAGACAAAGAUAUUUUCUAUGUCACAUUAUUUACAGUUAAUAACUGCAACUUUACACAAAAUGUUCAAAUUAUAGCCCUGGAGUCAAAAUUUGCCCUGACCCGGGGUAUUUAAUUUCAUUAUGUACAUAAAGUAAAAACUAAAAAAAAUCUUCCUGUUAAAACCCGAAAAAGCUAGAGCUUAGAUAUUUGGCAUGAAACAUCUUCAAAUAGGUGUCUACCAAGUUUGUUCAAAUAAAAGCCCUAGGGUCAAAAUUGGCACCGCCCAUCAUUGAUCUUCCUUAAAUGUAUAAAGUAAAACUAAAAAAAGUCUUUAUGUGAAAAUCCAAAAUCAAUAUAUGCAUUCCAGAAUAAAAAAGGAAAUUCCAGAUGUCCUUUUACCGCGGGUCGACCUAAAGGCACUUUUUCAGCAACAAAUUCACAUGCAGAGAGAGAGAGAGAGAGAGAGAGAGAGAGAGAGAGAGAGAGAGAGAGAGACAGAGAGAGAGAGAGAGAGAGAGAGAGACAGAGAGAGAGAGAGAGAGGGAGAGAGAGAGAGAGAGAGAGA